GUCGGCGUCGUCACCAUCCAGCCUUCCGCCGUGCCCGUCACCGUCGAGUUGCCGGGCCGCGUGAGCGCGCAUCUCGUCGCCGAAGUGCGUGCGCGCGUCGACGGCAUCGUGCAGAAGCGCCUCUAUACGGAAGGCAGCGAAGUGAAGGCGGGGCAGAUGCUCUACAAGAUCGA
rnacentral:ncRNA from 1 species